rnacentral:rRNA from 1 species
CGGCCGCGUCGACAACCUUACCAGGUCUUGACAUCCUCUGACACUCCUAGAGAUAGGACGUUCCCCUUCGGGGGACAGAGUGACAGGUGGUGCAUGGUUGUCGUCAGCUCGUGUCGUGAGAUGUUGGGUUAAGUCCCGCAACGAGCGCAACCCUCGUGUUUAGUUGCCAUCAUUAAGUUGGGCACUCUAAACAGACUGCCGGUGACAAACCGGAGGAAGGUGGGGAUGACGUCAAGUCAGCUGUGAAAGUUCGGGGCUCAACCUUGGAAUUGCAGUUGAAACUGGUUUCUUGAG